rnacentral:sRNA from 1 species
CUAUGGUGCAGGCAGGAAUUGGAACCAGCCAGAGAAUCACCUCAGUCUGCUGGACUAUGCUACAACAUUAUGGUAGAAGGCAACAGCAUUAACUAAAUGGAAGAAAUGACAUUAAUAAGAAGGUUGAUGGAUUUGGAUUAUUUUUCAUGUUUCCUGGAGGUAAAACCAGUGUCCUCACUUGUUUUCCUCUUUUUCCUCAUUUUGAAGACUAUUUGUUUUCAUUUUCUUUGCCUCCUCUCUGGCUAUGUGUCCCCGGAAGGCAGCUUGGAUUUUGACAGCAGCAACCUCUUCUUUUUCCUUAUCUUCCUCAGAAGAGUCCUUCAUCGAAAGGAGAAAAAAAGGCUCUCAAAAUAGGCUGCUGCAAAAGCUGGUAUAUUGUCCGGUUGCUCUCUCAGAAUCUCGCGUGUCAGCCCUUCAAGAAGAUUCCCAAAUCCUUGUGGAAUUCGGUAGUGGGUGUUGGAGAAUGGAAUCGACAUCUUCUUGGUAUUGGUUUUCGCUUUGCUUCAUACAUCAAUAAUGAUAUGGUGCUGCAGAAGGAGCCUGCUGGGGCAGUGAUAUGGGGCUUUGGU